UACGUAGGGUGCGAGCGUUGUCCGGAAUUAUUGGGCGUAAAGAGCUCGUAGGCGGUCUGUCGCGUCGGCUGUGAAAACCCGGGGCUCAACCCCGGGCCUGCAGUCGAUACGGGCAGACUAGAGUGCGGUAGGGGAGACUGGAAUUCCUGGUGUAGCGGUGAAAUGCGCAGAUAUCAGGAGGAACACCGGUGGCGAAGGCGGGUCUCUGGGCCGUAACUGACGCUGAGGAGCGAAAGCGUGGGGGGCAAACAGG
rnacentral:rRNA from 1 species